rnacentral:rRNA from 1 species
GAUGAACGCUGGCGGCGUGCCUAAUACAUGCAAGUCGAGCGAACAGACGAGGAGCUUGCUCCUCUGACGUUAGCGGCGGACGGGUGAGUAACACGUGGAUAACCUACCUAUAAGACUGGGAUAACUUCGGGAAACCGGAGCUAAUACCGGAUAAUAUAUUGAACCGCAUGGUUCAAUAGUGAAAGACGGUUUUGCUGUCACUUAUAGAUGGAUCCGCGCCGCAUUAGCUAGUUGGUAAGGUAACGGCUUACCAAGGCGACGAUGCGUAGCCGACCUGAGAGGGUGAUCGGCCACACUGGAACUGAGACACGGUCCAGACUCCUACGGGAGGCAGCAGUAGGGAAUCUUCCGCAAUGGGCGAAAGCCUGACGGGCAACGCCGCGUGAGUGAUGAAGGUCUUCGGAUCGUAAAACUCUGUUAUUAGGGAAGAACAAAUGUGUAAGUAACUAUGCACGUCUUGACGGUACCUAAUCAGAAAGCCACGGCUAACUACGUG